rnacentral:rRNA from 1 species
UGGGGAAUUUUGGACAAUGGGCGAAAGCCUGAUCCAGCAAUGCCGCGUGUGUGAAGAAGGCCUUCGGGUUGUAAAGCACUUUUGUCCGGAAAGAAAUCCUUGGCUCUAAUACAGUCGGGGGAUGACGGUACCGGAAGAAUAAGCACCGGCUAACUACGUGCCAGCAGCCGCGGUAAUACGUAGGGUGCAAGCGUUAAUCGGAAUUACUGGGCGUAAAGCGUGCGCAGGCGGUUUGCUAAGACCGAUGUGAAAUCCCCGGGCUCAACCUGGGAACUGCAUUGGUGACUGGCAGGCUAGAGUAUGGCAGAGGGGGGUAGAAUUCCACGUGUAGCAGUGAAAUGCGUAGAGAUGUGGAGGAAUACCGAUGGCGAAGGCAGCCCCCUGGGCCAAUACUGACGCUCAUGCACGAAAGCGUGAGGAGCAAACAGGAUUAGAUACCCUGGUAGUCCACGCCCUAAACGAUGUCAACUAGUUGUUGGGGCAUUCAUUUUCCUUAGUAACGUAGCUAACGCGUGAAGUUGACCGCCUGGGGAGUACGGUCGCAAGAUU